AUUGAACGCUGGCGGCAGGCCUAACACAUGCAAGUCGAACGCUGUAGCAAUACAGAGUGGCAGACGGGUGAGUAACACGUGGGAACGUACCUUUCGGUUCGGAAUAACUCAGGGAAACUUGAGCUAAUACCGGAUACGUGCGAGAGCAGAAAGAUUUAUCGCCGAAAGAUCGGCCCGCGUCCGAUUAGCUUGUUGGUGAGGUAAUGGCUCACCAAGGCGACGAUCGGUAGCUGGUCUGAGAGGAUGAUCAGCCACACUGGGACUGAGACACGGCCCAGACUCCUACGGGAGGCAGCAGUGGGGAAUAUUGGACAAUGGACGAAAGCCUGAUCCAGCCAUGCCGCGUGAGUGAUGAAGGCCCUAGGGUUGUAAAGCUCUUUCGCCAGGGACGAUAAUGACGGUACCUGGAUAAGAAGCCCCGGCUAACUUCGUGCCAGCAGCCGCGGUAAU
rnacentral:rRNA from 1 species